rnacentral:lncRNA from 1 species
GAGAACGGUGGCUUCAGAACGGAGAAGCCGGCCUCGGCUUCCUGGUGCACAAAAGCAGCAGCUGCCCAGAGGCAGUAAUACCGAGCAGCGCCGCGAGGGUCAAGCGCUGGUCCCGUCCUCCUCGAUGACGCGGUUCAUGCUGGUGCCGUGCGUGAUGUGUGUCAGGGGGUUGCUGCUCAGGUCCCUGAUGCUGCUGUGGCGCGACUGCUCGUUGAGCCGAUGGGAGCUGCUGUGCCGGGAGUGGUCGGUGAGCCGGGACAUGCUGCCGUGAGGUAGUCUUUCCUCUAUGCCUCUGUAGCUGCAGGGGGUGUACCGGCCGUCGCGUGAGCGGUGCAGGCUGCCAUGGUAGCUGCUCACUUUGCUGUGCACGCUGCCUGCCUUGCUCCUCUGGUCGUCCAGCAUGGCCAGCUGGGUGGAGGAGGCGUGGGUGGAGGUGCCCUGGGUGGAGGUGCCCCUGGACUUGCG